GCUUCAUAGGAGCAGAGGGGGUUGGUUUGCAAUCCUGGAGUGGAUUGGGGCUAGAGGUCUGGAAGCCGGGACUUUCUCCGUGGCCGGUGGCUGUGAGAGAUGCAUAUUGCGUCGUUCUUUCUAUUUUUUUGUGACAGAGCAGAGCAGAGGCUUUUUUUUGGUUCAAACGGGAGUCAGGGGCAAGGCCGAGCAGAGAAGCAGAGCAGCUGUCAGGAGAAUUCAGGCUGGAGCAGGCUCAGGGCCCAGGGAGAGGGGGGACACAGCGAAACGGGACAUCUGCUGGCCAGCCACGGCCCCGCGUCGCCCUCCCGGGCCCAGUUGCUUAGGAGAAGGAAGGAAACCAGCCUUUUCCCACUGCCAUUGUGUCCCUGACAGGCUUUGUAAACAGAGAGGGAGAAGAAGAAAAAAAGAGCCAAAAGGAAAAAAUAAAUUCUGGAAUCAGACGAUACACUCAGUUAUUCAUUCAGCAACAUCGAGUGAGGCCUGCUGUGUGCCAAGAACAAUGGGUGAAUGGACAGUGACGAGUUUGACCCCCUGGGUGUGGAGUCAGACCACCUGCGUUUGCACCUGCUGCCGACAGACCUGCUCCUCACCUCUCUGAAUCCCAGUGUUUUCGUCUGUCACGGGGAGCAGGACUCGUUCCCAGCUUGCAGGACUAGAAAUGGCCUGGACAGCUGACUCGUCUGGGGUGGAGUCUGAGCGUACCCUGAAGCAUCCUUGUACAUUUGAAGCUGUUUCCUGGAUGAUUCUCUCUCACCAUGGCAUGUGAGUUUUACUAGUUUAUCACUCAGAAGUCCUCGUAUGUGAGGCCAUGAGAAACCUUCAUGUUGGACAGAGCUAACAAUUUGGGCAACUUCAUCAGCCUGCUGAGGAGAAAGCAUUGGCUGCCUGCAGUAUUCUCUUGGAGCAAUUUCUACAUGGUAAGAGAAGUCCUAGGUAGUAAAGACAUGGAAUUAAAGCUGUAUUAAAAUGUAGGAAACGAGACAUCUGGGGGGUCAGAGAGGUGGUGGGUGGAAUAACAGUGCCUAUCAGAAGCCCUGGCUCUUUCCUGAAACUUCCUGCCCGUCUACGCUGAAGGCCAUCACUAAAGAUUUCCAAGUGGACUUUUGCAGGCUUCCCCUUCAUUACUGCCGGUCAGUUACAAUCCUACCCAUUGUCAAGGUCCAUCUGAAUGCUCCAUUUUCUGUGAAGUUCUGCUUGAAUGCCCAGUUAGAAGUAAACACUCUUUUCCCCACGUGCUCAUAGUGCCCUUAAUUAGUUCUUUCAAUCUCUCUGUCUUUCCUAUCUGUCUAUUUAUCUCUCCCUAUUUG
rnacentral:lncRNA from 1 species